rnacentral:rRNA from 1 species
UGGGGAAUAUUGCACAAUGGGCGCAAGCCUGAUGCAGCCAUGCCGCGUGUGUGAAGAAGGCCUUCGGGUUGUAAAGCACUUUCAGCGAGGAGGAAGGUGGUGAACUUAAUACGUUCAUCAAUUGACGUUACUCGCAGAAGAAGCACCGGCUAACUCCGUGCCAGCAGCCGCGGUAAUACGGAGGGUGCAAGCGUUAAUCGGAAUUACUGGGCGUAAAGCGCACGCAGGCGGUUUGUUAAGUCAGAUGUGAAAUCCCCGGGCUCAACCUGGGAACUGCAUUUGAAACUGGCAAGCUAGAGUCUCGUAGAGGGGGGUAGAAUUCCAGGUGUAGCGGUGAAAUGCGUAGAGAUCUGGAGGAAUACCGGUGGCGAAGGCGGCCCCCUGGACGAAGACUGACGCUCAGGUGCGAAAGCGUGGGGAGCAAACAGAUUAGAUACCCUGGUAGUCCACGCUGUAAAACGAUGUCGAUUUUGGAGGUUGUGCCCCUUGAGGCGUGGUUCCGGAGCUAACGCGUUAAAUCGACCG